GAUGAACGCUGGCGGCGUGCCUAAUAAAUGCAAGUCGAGCGAACGGACGAGAAGCUUGCUUCUCUGAUGUUAGCGGCGGACGGGUGAGUAACACGUGGAUAACCUACCUAUAAGACUGGGAUAACUUCGGGAAACCGGAGCUAAUACCGGAUAAUAUUUUGAACCGCAUGGUUCAAAAGUGAAAGACGGUCUUGCUGUCAUUUAUAGAUGGAUCCGCGCUGCAUUAGCUAGUUGGUAAGGUAACGGCUUACCAAGGCAACGAUGCAUAGCCGACCUGAGAGGGUGAUCGGCCACACUGGAACUGAGACACGGUCCAGACUCCUACGGGAGGCAGCAGUAGGGAAUCUUCCGCAAUGGGCGAAAGCCUGACGGAGCAACGCCGCGUGAGUGAUGAAGGUCUUCGGAUCGUAAAACUCUGUUAUUAGGGAAGAACAUAUGUGUAAGUAACUGUGCACAUCUUGACGGUACCUAAUCAGAAAGCCACGGCUAACUACGUG
rnacentral:rRNA from 1 species